rnacentral:misc_RNA from 1 species
AACCUAGCACACCUGCGGUGUGUACCUGCGGAAGGAUCAUUACUGAGUGUAAAAACUCCAAACCCAUGUGAACUUACCACUGUUGCCUCGGCGCAGUUUCCUGUCUGGUGGCGAGAGCUGCUGGGCGGGUUGCGCCGGUGGACUACCAAACUCUUGUAAUUUUGGCAUUCUGAAUAAAAAACUUAAUAAGUUAAAACUUUCAACAAUGGAUCU